AAAAGUAGUCCCGGUCGUAGUCUAACUGAUAUCUGGGUUGGUUAGACUACGAACUGAAACAAAACAGUCAUGGUUUAAAGUACUGUUAAAUGGGAUCAA